rnacentral:misc_RNA from 1 species
AAAAGUUCCCCAUCUUGUAAAUUAUGGGGCUAAACAUAGCCCAGUACACUAAGCUUCUGCUAUAUGUGGAGUCCAAAGAAGGUUCAACCACAACGGUCUAUUCAACACAGCCUUACCUAUCUGGUUCCACAGCUCGGACUCGAUGACAAUGGUGCUACUGCUACACACAACAUUUCUAAAGUUAUGCACACAUCUAUAUUAUAAGUGUACUUGAUUUCAUUAAAAUGAGUUCCCAUGGUUUCUGGAUUGGACUAUAUAGGCCACAAGUUGGAGAGUACAUUACAUUUAUUUCAUUCUUUUGAAAAGAUGAAAGCGUUACAUA